rnacentral:piRNA from 1 species
UUAACCUUUCCUAUCGUAUUU